rnacentral:rRNA from 1 species
UACGGAGGAUGCAAGCGUUAUCCGGAAUGAUUGGGCGUAAAGGGUCCGCAGGUGGCAGUGUAAGUCUGCUGUCAAAGAAUGAGGCUUAACCUUAUCAAGGCAGUGGAAACUACACAGCUAGAGUACGGUCGGGGUAGAAGGAAUUCCUGGUGUAGCGGUGAAAUGCGUAGAGAUCGGGAAGAACAUCGGUGGCGAAAGCGCUCUACUGGGCCAUAACUGACACUCAGGGACGAAAGCUAGGGGAGCGAAUGGG